rnacentral:rRNA from 1 species
GAUGAACGCUGGCGGCGUGCCUAAUACAUGCAAGUCGAGCGAACAGACGAGGAGCUUGCUCCUCUGACGUUAGCGGCGGACGGGUGAGUAACACGUGGAUAACCUACCUAUAAGACUAGGUUAACUUAGGGAAACCGGAUCUCAUAUCGGAUCACAUGUUGAACGGCAUGGUUCAUCGGUGAAAGCGGGUUUUGCUGUCCCUUAUAGUUGGUACCUCGCCGCAUUAGCUAGUUGGUACGGUAACGGCUUACCAAGGCAACGAUGCGUAGCCGACCUGAGAGGGUGAUCAGCCACACUGGAACUGAGACACGGUCCAGACUCCUACGGGAGGCAGCAGUGGGGAAUCUUCCGCAAUGGGCGAAAGCCUGACGGAGCAACGCCGCGUGAGUGAAGAAGGUCUUCGGAUCGUAAAACUCUGUUAUUAGGGAAGAACAAAUGUGUAAGUAACUAUGCACGGCUUGACGGUACCUAAUCAGGAAGCCACGGCUAACUACGUG